CAAAGGAAUUGACGGGGAGCACCACAACGGGUGGAGCUUGCGGUUUAAUUUGGAUUCAACGCCGGAAAUCUUACCGGGACCGACAGCAAUAUGAAGGCCAGGCUGAAGACUUUGCCGAAUUAGCUGAGAGGUGGUGCAUGGCCGUCGUCAGUUCGUACUGUGAAGCAUCCUGUUAAGUCAGGCAACGAGCGAGACCCACGCCCACAGUUGCCAGCGUACUCUCUGGAGUGACGGGUACACUGUGGGACCGCCGCUGCUAAAGCGGAGGAAGGAAUGGGCAACGGUAGGUCAGUAUGCCCCGAAUAUCCCGGGCUACACGCGAGCUACAAUGGUUGGUACAAUGGGUAUCUACCCCGAAAGGGGACGGGAAUCUCCUAAAACCAAUCUUAGUUCGGAUUGAGGGCUGCAACUCGCCCUCAUGAAGCUGGAAUCCGUAGUAAUCGCGUUUCAACAGAACGCGGUGAAUACGUCCCUGCUCCUU
rnacentral:rRNA from 1 species